rnacentral:rRNA from 1 species
UACGUAGGGGGCUAGCGUUGUCCGGAAUCAUUGGGCGUAAAGCGCUUGUAGGCGGUCCGGUAAGUCCGCUGUGAAAGUCGAGGGCUCAACCCUCGAAUGCCGGUGGAUACUGUCGGGCUAGAGUACGGAAGAGGCGAGUGGAAUUCCUGGUGUAGCGGUGAAAUGCGCAGAUAUCAGGAGGAACACCAAUUGCGAAGGCAGCUCGCUGGGACGUAACUGACGCUGAGAAGCGAAAGCGUGGGGAGCAAACAGG